GGGAUACCCAAUCAGAGAAUUUCCCCACUUCCUGACAUCAUCUUAUCCAGAAUAAAGCCCCACUUCCUUAAACCCUCUUCCAAACCACCUGACAACUCCUUCUGAGAUGCUCUACAGUUCUUGACGGACGCCUCUACUGUCCGAGUCUACCCAUCUGCCUGAGAUUCUCCCGUUCGUUGGCCGCUCUCCCACGCCUGAGCCCCAAGACCACCCCCUCCUGUCGCACGUCGAACCCACCUGUCGCCCACACCUCACC